rnacentral:rRNA from 1 species
CAGUCGCCGCGGGAAUACAGAGGGUGCGAGCGUUAAUCGGAUUUACUGGGCGUAAAGCGUGCGUAGGCGGCUUCUUAAGUCGGAUGUGAAAUCCCUGAGCUUAACUUAGGAAUUGCAUUCGAUACUGGGAAGCUAGAGUAUGGGAGAGGAUGGUAGAAUUCCAGGUGUAGCGGUGAAAUGCGUAGAGAUCUGGAGGAAUACCGAUGGCGAAGGCAGCCAUCUGGCCUAAUACUGACGCUGAGGUACGAAAGCAUGGGGAGCAAACAGGAUUAGUUACCCGAGUAGUCCCUGUCUCUUAUAU